GUUAUGGUAGCCUAAAAAUUUAAGGCGUUGGUCUUGUAAACCAAAAAUUGGAGGUGGGAUACCUCCCCAAAACA
rnacentral:tRNA from 1 species